rnacentral:rRNA from 1 species
AACGAACGCUGGCGGCGUGCCUAACACAUGCAAGUCGAACGGGAUUCGGAGCUUGCUCCGAUGAGAGUGGCGCACGGGUGAGUAACGCGUAGAUAAUCUGCCUGAUGAUCUGGGAUAACAGUUCGAAAGGACUGCUAAUACCGGAUAAGCCCACGGAGACCUUGGUCUUUGCGGGAAAAGGGGGGGACCUUCGGGCCUUCCGUCAUCAGAUGAGUCUGCGUACCAUUAGCUAGUUGGUAGGGUAAAGGCCUACCAAGGCGACGAUGGUUAGCUGGUUUGGGAGGAUCAUCAGCCACACGAGAACUGAGACACGGUCCAGACUCCUACGGGAGGCAGCAGUGGGGAAUUUUGCGCAAGGGGGGAAACCCUGACGCAGCAACGCCGCGUGAGUGAUGAAGGCUCUUGGGUCGUAAAGCUCUGACAGAGGGAAAGAAGUGUAUGGUGGUUAAUACCCAUUGUACUUGACGGUACCCUCAAAGGAAGCACCGGCUAACUCCGUGCCAGCAGCCGCCGUAAAAC